rnacentral:misc_RNA from 1 species
UUUCCGUAGGUGAACCUGCGGAAGGAUCAUUAUAAAAUGUUAUGGGAAGUCCUAACCGGCACCCAAGCACACACAUCCAUAUUAAACUUUUGACACAACUACUAGUCUGAUAAGGCCAUAUGCUGUAAAAAUUCAAAUAUAUGAAAACUUUCAACAACGGAUCUCUUGGCUCUC